rnacentral:misc_RNA from 1 species
CAGCAAUUUUCAAACUUGCUGCCUACAAAUCACACCACAAAUCUUAUGUCUCAAUAACCAUUGAACUUGGCAUAAUUAAUUUGUUCUUAUAUAUAUUUAAAUGCGCAACGCGCAAAUUACAUAGUACACAAAAUCUCUACAAACAUUAAUUUAACAAAUAAAUAUGUUUUGCCAAUUGAAAAGGAAACUCCACUUUGUAUUGUGGGAAUUCCCAUGGUACAAUAAAAUGUAUGCAACACUAUUGCAAAGUCAGAUCUCAAACAAAAAGUGAGGUGUUCUGCUCAAAUGUAGAAGUAAACUCUUCAAAUGUAGAUGUUAAAACUUUGUUGCAGCAUGCACAUGAAUGUUGACGUAUGCACUCUCUAUUUCAAACUAGAGACGAACAAAAAAUAGGAGAUUGCACUUGCAUUUUGUUUUAAGACUUUCUAAAACCCAGGUAGGUCUUAACACAGAGAGGCCAAAAUAAUUGUGGCAGUAAGAUUUCAAACCUUACCCUCAGCAACAUUUCAAUCUUUUGGCAUCUGCCAUUAUCUACACGUCAAUUGCUUUUAUGUCAGAUGUGCACAUGCAGAAAAAGUAAAUCAUCCAAUUUUCAAAUUACAUGCACUAGAUACAGCAUGUAAUAGCACGUACCAGCAUGGGGCACAACUGACAAUCUUAUA